UUAAAGACGUUGAUGGUGCAUAGUAGUACAGAACCAUCUCUCUAAAGAGAAUGACCGUGAGGCGCUGAGAGCGGUCUGAGAGAUAUCUGAUUCGAAUUUUCCCACCGGAGUCGUCCGGGUGAAGUUACAGUAGUCCGGAACGUGAAUGCGCGUUAAGCAUUUUGAGAGUCUGAUGAAGAGUUUUAUAGGCUUCAUCAGGAACAAGGGUGGUACCGCGAUAAUUCGUCCCUGUG
rnacentral:ncRNA from 1 species